UGUUUCGGCAAGGGGGUCAUCCCGACUUACCAACCCGAUGCAAACUGCGAAUACCGGAGAAUGUUAUCACGGGAGACACACGGCGGGUGCUAACGUCCGUCGUGAAGAGGGAAACAACCCAGACCGCCAGCUAAGGUCCCAAAGUCAUGGUUAAGUGGGAAACGAUGUGGGAAGGCCCAGACAGCCAGGAUGUUGGCUUAGAAGCAGCCAUCAUUUAAAGAAAGCGUAAUAGCUCACUGGUCGAGUCGGCCUGCGCGGAAGAUGUAACGGGGCUAAACCAUGCACCGAAGCUGCGGCAGCGACGCUUAUGCGUUGUUGGGUAGGGGAGCGUUCUGUAAGCCUGUGAAGGUGUGCUGUGAGGCAUGCUGGAGGUAUCAGAAGUGCGAAUGCUGACAUAAGUAACGAUAAAGCGGGUGAAAAGCCCGCUCGCCGGAAGACCAAGGGUUCCUGUCCAACGUUAAUCGGGGCAGGGUGAGUCGACCCCUAAGGCGAGGCCGAAAGGCGUAGUCGAUGGGAAACAGGUUAAUAUUCCUGUACUUGGUGUUACUGCGAAGGGGGGACGG
rnacentral:rRNA from 1 species